rnacentral:lncRNA from 1 species
GAACCAACUCUUGCUGGCAAUGCAGGUCUAGUUGCAGCACUUGUUGCUCUGUCUGGUGACAAGUCUACUGGGAUUGACAAGAACACCAUUUUCUCAGCUGUUCCUCCAAUGUUCCCCACUCCACCACCACCUCCUGCACCCUGGAAGCCUUAAGCUGCCCGUAUUUUUGAGAAAAAGCAUGUUUUGUGUGACUUUUGGUUAGAGCAUUUUGCUGCAGCAAACCUUGGAAAUUAGAUUUGGAAGUUAUGGUAGUGCAAAACUAAGGAAGAAGAUGGCGCAUAGAAAAGAUUGCAUUUGACAAUGUUAGUGGAGACAGUUGGGCGAGGCAUGUUGGACUCAAACGAGCAUUAAGAAAUUGAUGUUCUACAUAU